rnacentral:rRNA from 1 species
GACGAACGCUGGCGGCGUGCUUAACACAUGCAAGUCGAACGGAAAGGCCCUGCUUUUGUGGGGUGCUCGAGUGGCGAACGGGUGAGUAACACGUGAGUAACCUGCCCUUGACUUUGGGAUAACUUCAGGAAACUGGGGCUAAUACCGGAUAGGAGCUCCUGCUGCAGGGUGGGGGUUGGAAAGUUUCGGCGGUUGGGGAUGGACUCGCGGCUUAUCAGCUUGUUGGUGGGGUAGUGGCUUACCAAGGCUUUGAUGGGUAGCCGGCCUGGGAGGGUGACCGGGCACAUUGGGACUGAGAUACGGCCCAGACUGCUACGGGGGGCAGCAGGGGGGAAUAUUGCACAAUGGGCGGAAGCCUGAUGCAGCAACGCCGCGUGCGGGAUGACGGCCUUCGGGUUGUAAACCGCUGUCGCCUGUGACGAAGCGUGAGUGACGGUAAUGGGUAAAGAAGCACCGGCUAACUACGUG